AUCUGGUUGAAAAAUCCCAAAUAGGACGAAAUGCGCAUCCUGGAU
rnacentral:hammerhead_ribozyme from 1 species